rnacentral:rRNA from 1 species
GACGAACGCUGGCGGCGUGCUUAACACAUGCAAGUCGAACGGAAAGGCCCUGCUUUUGUGGGGUGCUCGAGUGGCGAACGGGUGAGUAACACGUGAGUAACCUGCCCUUGACUUUGGGAUAACUUCAGGAAACUGGGGCUAAUACCGGAUAGGAGCUCCUGCUGCAUGGUGGGGGUUGGAAAGUUUCGGCGGUUGGGGAUGGACUCGCGGCUUAUCAGCUUGUUGGUGGGGUAGUGGCUUACCAAGGCUUUGACGGGUAGCCGGCCUGAGAGGGUGACCGGCCACAUUGGGACUGAGAUACGGCCCAGACUCCUACGGGAGGCAGCAGUGGGGAGUAUUGCACAGUGGGCGGAAGCCUGAUGCGGCAACGCCGCGUGCGGGAUGACGGCCUUCGGGUUGUAAACCGCUUUCGCCUGUGACGAAGCGUGAGUGACGGUAAUGGGUAAAGAAGCACCGGCUAACUACGUG